AAAUUGAAGAGUUUGAUCAUGGCUCAGAUUGAACGCUGGCGGCAGGCCUAACACAUGCAAGUCGAACGGUAACAGGAAGCAGCUUGCUGCUUCGCUGACGAGUGGCGGACGGGUGAGUAAUGUCUGGGAAACUGCCUGAUGGAGGGGGAUAACUACUGGAAACGGUGGCUAAUACCGCAUAACGUCGCAAGACCAAAGAGGGGGACCUUCGGGCCUCUUGCCAUCAGAUGUGCCCAGAUGGGAUUAGCUUGUUGGUGAGGUAACGGCUCACCAAGGCGACGAUCCCUAGCUGGUCUGAGAGGAUGACCAGCCACACUGGAACUGAGACACGGUCCAGACUCCUACGGGAGGCAGCAGUGGGGAAUAUUGCACAAUGGGCGCAAGCCUGAUGCAGCCAUGCUGCGUGUAUGAAGAAGGCCUUCGGGUUGUAAAGUACUUUCAGCGGGGAGGAAGGUGUUGUGGUUAAUAACCGCAGCAAUUGACGUUACCCGCAGAA
rnacentral:rRNA from 1 species